rnacentral:rRNA from 1 species
AUGAUACAACAGGUGGUGGUGGACAACGGCAUUGUGCAGGUGGUGGUGUCCAAGACGCAGGGCCAGAUCAUCGGCGUCCGUUAUGUCGACGACACUAACCUCCUCUACUUCAACAACAAUGAGAUAUCAGGCGGGUACUGGGAUGUAGUUUGGAACUUUCCAGGAUCGGGAUAUCCCACGGGCAUGAACGACAUGUUGGACGGUACAGAGUUCAUGGUGGUAUCUGCGAGUGAGGAGCAAGUGGAGCUCUCCUUCAUGAGAACCUACGACCCAUCACGCCUCAACAGCGUCCCGCUCAACGUCGACAAGAGGCUGGUGAUGCUGAGAGGCGGCUCCGGGUUCUACUGCUACUCCAUCUUCGAGCACGCCGGCGGCUGGCCGGCCGUCGACGUCUCGGAGGCCCGGCUCGUCUUCAAGCUCGACCCCACGACGUUCAACUACAUGGCGGUCUCGGACGGGAUCCAGAGGUACAUGCCGGGGGCGGCGGACCGGGACGCGCCCCGGGCCGUGCCGCUGGCGUACAAGGAGGCCGUGCUGCUCGUGCACCCGUCGGAGCCGCAGUUCGCGGGGGAGGUGGACGACAAGUACCAGUACUCCAUGGACAACAAGGACAACCGUGUCCACGGCUGGAUCGCCGGCGCCGGUGGCGACGGCGACCAGGUGCCGGUGGGGUUCUGGGUGGUCACCCCCAGCAACGAGUUCAAGAGCGGCGGCCCCCUCAAGCGCGAGCUCACCUCCCACAUCGGCCCCACCUCGUUGACUAUGUUCAUGGGGACUCAUUACAUCGGAAGCGACAUGGUGGCGAGGAUCGAGGCCGGCGAGCACUGGAAGAAGGUCAUGGGGCCGGUGUUCAUCUACCUCAACUCCAACCCAGAGCGGGGAGGCUUCCAGCCGCUGUGGGAGGACGCCAAGGCGCAGGCGGAGGUCGAGGCGAGCCAAUGGCCGUACAGCUUCCCGUUGUCGCCGGACUUCCACACGGCAGGCGAGAGGGGCUCGGUCACCGGUCGGUUGCUGGUAAGAGACAAGUACACGAGCGGCGGCGAGGACGUGCCCGCCCGGCUGGCCUACGUCGGCCUCGCCGCUCCGGGACAGCCCGGCUCCUGGGCGACGGAGAGCAAGGGUUACCAGUUUUGGACGAGGGCGUCGGCGACAAGCGGCAGCUUCGCCAUUGACGACGUCCGGGCAGGGGAGUACAACCUCUACGCCUGGGUCCCCGGGGUCCUCGGCGACUACAUGCGCACGGCUCCGGUAACGGUGGUGCCCGGCGUCGCCAUUGCCCUCGGCGACCUCGUGUUCGAGCCGCCGCGAUCGGGGCCGACGCUGUGGGAGAUCGGCGUGCCAGACCGCAGCGCCGCCGAGUUCUUCGUCCCUGAUCCCAACCCCAGGUACCUCAGCAAGCUCUUCGUCGCCAGGGACAAGUACAGGCAGUACGGGCUGUGGGAGCGGUACGACGAGCUGUACCCCGCCGGCGACCCCGUCUUCACCAUCGGCGUGAGCAACCCCUUCAAGGACUGGUUCUUCGCGCAUGUCACAAGGAAGACGGGCAACGGCGAGAACGUGCCGACGACGCGGCGGAUCCGGUUCGACGUGCCCCGCGUCGCCGCCGGCGGCACCUACACGCUGCGCAUCGCCCUCGCGGCGGCGCACAUGUGCAAGCUGAAGGUGCAGGUGAACGGGGCGACGGGGAGGGGGCCGGCGGGGGGAGUGUUGGUGACGCCCGAGUUCGGCGACGACAACGCGAUCGCGCGGCACGGCGAGCACGGCAGGUGGUGGAGCUUCGAGUUCCCGAUCGACGGGCGGCUGCUCGUGCAAGGGGAGAACACCAUCAGCGUCACGCAGGCGAGGGCGUUCACCGUGUUCAUGGGGGUCUUGUACGAUUACGUCCGGCUGGAAGGGCCGUCCGGUUGGGAUUCUGGCGUCACAAGUAGUGCUGGUCUAGGCGAAAUCUUGCCUCUCGGUUUGCUAUAUGGGCUUGUCGUGCUACCAACAUUGAUAUUUCUGCUAAGCAAGUGA